CUUGAGAGAAGAUAGAGGAAUGAGGGCUUUAAAGGGAGAAGGUGGUGUGUGAUGCACUGCAGGAGCAUAUUGAGGAACUGAGGCAUUGAUGCCUAACAGUGGGAUGAGUGGGAUGGUGGCCUUGUAUUCUUGGCGUAAGGAAUCUUGCUUUCCGAAAUGGAAAAUUGAUAUCUUUCACCUUGCAACAAAGAGGUGCGGAGAAUUCAUACUUCGACAAAAAGUGGAGCUGCAGCAGAGAUGGAAUCAAAUAGGACUAAAGGACUCUUGCAUUAGUGGAACUUCAUGGGCCCUUACUGAUCACUGCUAGCCAUCUGUCCUGCAAAAUUCUCGUUGCUAAGUUAUUUGCACCGGUCCCUUCCUACAUUCUGGCCUCUUUCAAAACAAAGGAAUAGUUGGACUGGAAACCCCUCUUUUAGCGGCCUAUCACGGUGCGCUGAAAGACUUGGAAACCAUAACUACCCAAUGUCUUAUAGUGGGCUGUUCGCACUCUGUGAAGCGGCAAACACACACUUGAGCAUCUUAACAGAAGCGCAGGCAGAAAAAAAAUGUUGACAUGAGAGAAUCACUGCGUUGAGAAGUCUCAACCCUAGGUGUUGUGACCAGGUUGCAGGGUCGUGUAAAAGAAUUAGAAGAAAAUAACUCCAUGUAUGAGAAUGCUCCUACACAUCAGGAAUUGCUCCAAGCAAACGCUAGUCUACAAGCCACUGUUCAAGAUCUACAAGAAAGGUUAGAAAAGUGCAAACUUGCGUCAGGGAGCUCUUAAUCUACUGGUAUCAUAGGCUAGUUUAGCUUGUGACAGGCUUUGUUUUGUAAGACUAGGCGUCUGAAAACCUUUCCAUUUACCUUAUGAGGACUAUUUGUUUUUUC